rnacentral:rRNA from 1 species
AUGUCAUUGCACAACUACAUUCGUGAGACCAAGUUGCCUGAUGAGGAGUUUGACAAAUGUGAUGAAGAUGAAGAUUAUGUUCCCGAUGAGGACUUGCGAGUACGGUCACUCCAAGGAGAUAGUGUUCCUGCGAGACUUGACAUCGUCGACAUGAACAAAGUUCGUGACAGGAUUGCUAACUCCUUGAUGAGCUCGAGUGGAUAG